GCCUCGGUAGCUCAAUUGGAUAGAGCAGUUCCGUCCUAAGGAAAAGGUUGCAGGUUCAACUCCUGCCCGGGGCACCA
rnacentral:tRNA from 1 species